UUUGCCGCCUCUCUCUCUGUACCUAGGCUAUGCCUCAUCGCCUCCCUCAUCUAUACACCACUAUACACCACUAGAGCACCAUUUGCUCUAUGAUCAUCUAAAAAAGCGAAACAGAUGAGAGAGUACACGAGUGAGAUCGAGAAGGAGGGUGAUGUAGUGGUGUUGGAGAUCUGUUGGCGGCGAUAUAGGUGAUGCUACGGCGGUAUUAGGACUGCACACCGAUUGUGACCCGGUGGUCUGAAGAUUAAAUUGGUUCUGUGGAAAUGGAGAACGAUGAAGAGAUUGAUGAGAUCUUCAUCUUUAUCGACACACCGCCAGAAAUUGAGAAUCAGUAUCUCUGAUUAAUUUGGAUCCUAGUAAUUCCAUAUAUUGUAUAUCUUGAUACCAUCAUCAUAAGUGUCGCUCACAACCAGAAGGGAGUGGAAUUAGCAUCUCGACGUUAUAGCUGGAAGACAUUUAUCUUGUUUUAGAAACAUAGUUUACUGGGUUAUAUAAAAUCAUGGAUUCAGGUUGCAGGUGAAGCAGUUGAAGUGGGAAAUUGAUAAUGAAGAACAUCAAGGAUAAUAACUUUAAUUCAUCUACAAAUUUUAAUUUUCAUCCGGUACAUCAUGAGGAUUUGGUCGAUUUUAUCCCCAUACUUGUUCAAUCAUGCAAAAUAGAUUCAUCUUCUUCUUCCUUGCUAAUUUUUCCCUAAUUUUCGAGGUUUUCCCUUACAUGUAUGUAACUAGAAAGUGGAAUGUUUAUGCUUGGAAUGUUUGAGUCCCUAGUUUUUGAGUAAUAAUAAAUUAUUAAAUGUGUAGUUUUCUA